ACUAGAUCGUUUUGGUUUGGACGAUUAUUUUGAGUUCAGUUCCAGUUCGAGCUUGCAGCGGCGGUGACGAGCUUGCAGCGGUGGUGACGAGCUUGCAGCGGUGGUGACAAGCUUGCAGCGGCGGCGACGAGCAGAGGGGACAGAAGAAGACAGAAGUGUGGCUGAAGGUCACGACUCGAGCCUGUGGCUGAAGCCUGAUGGUCACGACUCACGAGUUCGAUUUUUGCUUUUGGCUGAAGGUCACGACGAGCAGCGGCCAGCGGGAACCGAAGAAGUCACGACGAGCAGCGAGCCAGCGACCAGCCAGCGGGGG
rnacentral:lncRNA from 1 species